GAGGUCUGAGUUAAUUGGUAGGUGUGGUUAAUGAUUAUGGCCCAUCCUACAUACUAGUGAAGAUGUCUGGUGAGAGGAGACUUAUUCUUGUUAACAAAUUGACCCUGGCUGGGACUUAAAAUAUUAAAGGACCUUCUUUCUUGAUAGCUUUGGGUGACGGGCCGUCUUUCACUAUCAUUGGGGACUUGUACUCAAUCCUGGAGGCUUACCUCAUCCAUUACAACUUGAGAUGGCUUUGAUAUACACUAAUGAAGUUUUACUCUUUUUCAAGAUGAUAGAUCAUCUUUUACCAAGAUAGGACAGCUUUUAUUCAUUAUAUCUUUUUAAUUGUACAACAUUACUGUACAUACGACUGUUGUUUAAUAACUGUGUGAUGUGUAGACUGUUUUACCUAUAUUUUAGUGUAGUAUCAAGUUUAUUAUAAGAAUAACAAUGACUAUUUAGCUAACUAUUA